ACGAAGUCUUCGGACUUAGUGGCGGACGGGUGAGUAACGCGUGGGAAUCUGCCUUCAGGAGGGGGAUAACAGAGGGAGACCUUUGCUAAUACCCCAUAUGCCUAUGGGUGAAAUGAAUUUCGCCUGAAGAUGAGCCCGCGUCUGAUUAGCUAGUUGGUGGGGUAAAGGCCUACCAAGGCGACGAUCAGUAGCUGGUCUGAGAGGAUGAUCAGCCACACUGGGACUGAGACACGGCCCAGACUCCUACGGGAGGCAGCAGUGGGGAAUUUUCCGCAAUGGGCGAAAGCCUGACGGAGCAACGCCGCGUGAGUGAUGAAGGCCCUUGGGUCGUAAAGCUCUUUUGUCAGGGACGAUAAUGACGGUACCUGAUGAAUAAGCAUCGGCUAACUCUGUGCCAGCAGCCGCGGUAAUACAGAGGAUGCAAGCGUUAUCCGGAAUUAUUGGGCGUAAAGCGUACGUAGGUGGCGAUUCAAGUCUGUGGUUAAAGCCUGCAGCUCAACUGCAGAAAGGCCAUGGAAACUGAAACGCUAGAGUGCGAUAGAGGUAAGGGGAAUUCCCGGUGUAGCGGUGAAAUGUGGAGAUAUCGGGAAGAACACCAGCGGCGAAAGCGCCUUACUGGGUCGCAACUGACACUGAGGUACGAAAGCCAGGGGAGCAAAUGGGAUUAGAUACCCCAGUAGUCCUGGCCGUAAACGAUGGACACUAGGUGUUGCGCGUAUCGACCCGUGCAGUGCCGUAGCUAACGCGUUAAGUGUCCCGCCUGGGGAGUACGCACGCAAGUGUGAAACUCAAAGGAAUUGACGGGGGCCCGCACAAGCGGUGGAGCAUGUGGUUUAAUUCGAUGCAACGCGAAGAACCUUACCAGGGCUUGACGUACCGUGAAUUCUGGGGAAACUCGGAAGUGCCUUCGGGAACAUGGAUACAGGUGCUGCAUGGCUGUCGUCAGCUCGUGUCGUGAGAUGUUGGGUUAAGUCCCGCAACGAGCGCAACCCUCGUUUUCAGUUGCCAUCAUUAAGUUGGGCACUCUGGAGAGGCUGCCGGUGACAAACCGGAGGAAGGUGGGGAUGACGUCAAGUCAGCAUGGCUCUUACGUCCUGGGCUACACACGUGCUACAAUGGGUCGGAUAAAGGGUAGCAAUCUCGCGAGAGGGAGCCAAUCCCAAAAACCGCCUCUCAGUUCGGAUUGUAGGCUGCAACUCGCCUACAUGAAGUCGGAAUCGCUAGUAAUCGCAGGUC
rnacentral:rRNA from 1 species